rnacentral:rRNA from 1 species
UACGAAGGGGGCUAGCGUUGCUCGGAAUUACUGGGCGUAAAGCGCACGUAGGCGGCUUUCUAAGUCGGGGGUGAAAUCCUGGAGCUCAACUCCAGAACUGCCUUCGAUACUGGGGAUCUUGAGUCCGGGAGAGGUGAGUGGAACUGCGAGUGUAGAGGUGAAAUUCGUAGAUAUUCGCAAGAACACCAGUGGCGAAGGCGGCUCACUGGCCCGGUACUGACGCUGAGGUGCGAAAGCGUGGGGAGCAAACAGG